UGGGGAAUAUUGCGCAAUGGGCGAAAGCCUGACGCAGCGACGCCGCGUGUGGGAUGAAGGUCUUCGGAUCGUAAACCACUGUCAGAGGGGACGAAAUCCCGGGGUUAACUGCCGCCGGGACUGACGGUACCCUCGGAGGAAGCACCGGCUAACUCUGUGCCAGCAGCCGCGGUAAUACAGAGGGUGCGAGCGUUGUCCGGAAUCACUGGGCGUAAAGGGCGUGUAGGCGGCUUGCUAAGCCGCGUGUGAAAUCCCGGGGCUCAACCCCGGAAUGGCACGCGGGACUGGCAGGCUCGAGUAUGGUAGAGGCGAGCGGAAUUCCUGGUGUAGCGGUGGAAUGCGUAGAGAUCAGGAAGAACACCGGUGGCGAAGGCGGCUCGCUGGGCCAUUACUGACGCUGAGGCGCGAAAGCGUGGGGAGCAAACAGG
rnacentral:rRNA from 1 species